ACGCAACCAAGUGAUCAAUGUAUUCAAAAAGAGUAGAUGAGAGUGCCUGGCAAAUCCCACUGAUGUGCUUUGUGCGUCUGAACAGAAACCACUGCAGUGAGGCUUGACAUGGUUAUCCCUCAUUCAUUGCCUGGUAAUACAGUGGAGAAACGUUGUAAGACUGUCUGCCAGCCUGCCACUCUGCCCAGCCCUCACCCAAAGCAAUCACAAGAUCAAGAAUGAGCUCCUGCUGUUGACGGACAUCCACCAGGCUGUGCAGUGACUGCUGACCAAUAAGGGUUGAAAGGACGGGUAGAGGAGUGGAGGUGGACAUGGAGCCCUUUGUGUUCGACUUCGAAAUACAAGAGGACAUGGAGGACUUCUCGAAGGACUGCCAGGCCGUACUGGCAACAUGUGCCCACCCUAACACUGACACUUUCCCUAAAGUUUUGGUAUCAAGGUCUGUGUCUGGCAGUGCAAUGAACUUGCGCACACCUAGUGGUGUUGCGGUAAGCAACCACUUGGCCAACUGAAACAAAGAUGCGAGGCGAAUUAAUUGUUAUU